rnacentral:tRNA from 1 species
GCCGGCAUGGCUCAAUGGCAGAGCAACGGUUUUGUAAACCGUGGGUUGUGGGUUCGACUCCCUCUGCCGGCUCCA